UACGUAGGGUGCGAGCGUUGUCCGGAAUUAUUGGGCGUAAAGAGCUCGUAGGCGGCUUGUCGCGUCGGAUGUGAAAGCCCGGGGCUUAACUCCGGGUCUGCAUUCGAUACGGGCAGGCUAGAGUUCGGUAGGGGAGAUCGGAAUUCCUGGUGUAGCGGUGAAAUGCGCAGAUAUCAGGAGGAACACCGGUGGCGAAGGCGGGUCUCUGGGCCGAUACUGACGCUGAGGCGCGAAAGCGUGGGGAGCAAACAGG
rnacentral:rRNA from 1 species